GAUGAGGCCGAUUGGAGCGGGUGAUCUUUGCAAUGGGCUCUAUGUGUACCAGCCUGAAUCUUCUCUCGCUUUAGCUAUCCAAUCUACUGUCAAUAAGAACUUAUGGCAUCAACUUCUAGGUUAUCAUUCCCAUUUUAUUAUUCACAGUCUUUUUAAUUCUCCAUGCAUUCUCUCUGAUUGUGAUGUUUGUUCUCAAUCUAAGCACACCCAAUUACUUUUUUCUAUUAAUGCAAAUAAAAAUGUUUCUCAUUUUAAUCGCAUUUUUUUGUGAUAUUUGGGGUGGCUAAUCAUAAUUCUUCUCUGAGUGGGGCUCAAUAUUUCCUCGCCAUUGUUGAUGAUUUUUCACGCUACUUGGAUCUACCUGAUGCGUUUUAAUUCUAAAACUUUUACUAAUUUAAUGCAUUUUUUUGCUCUUGUCCAAAAUCAAUUUAAUACUACUGUUAAAAUUAUUCGUACUGAUAAUGGACAAGAAUUUAUUUCUCAUCAAUUUUAAACUUAUCUUCAAAAUUAUGGCAUCAUUCAUGAACGUACAUGUAUUGAAACUCCACAACAAAAUGGCGUUGCAGAAUGUAAACAUGGGCACCUUUUAAAUGUCGCCUAUAGUCUUUGUUUCCAAGCACAUCUCCCUUUAAAAUUUUGGGGAGAUUGUGUCCUCACUGCUGCAUAUCUCAUUAAUCGUACCCCCAGUCGCAUUCUCCAUAAUAAGUCACCUUUUGAAAUUCUUUUCAAUAAAACAUCCAGAUAUGAUAAUCUUCGCGUAUUCGGAUGUCUUUGCUAUGCACAAACCCUUAGUGCUCACCGCGACAAAUUUUCCCCCCAUGCUACUAAAUGUGUUUUUCUUGACCAUCCCAGCACUCAUAAAACUUACAAACUCUAUAAUCUCGACACUCAUUCCAUUUUUUAUUCUCGUGAUGUCACCUUCCAUGAACACCACUUCUCUUUCCAACAUAUUCCUGCUUCUAGGAAUCUGUCUAAUUUGUAUAAUUAGUUUACUUAUCUUUGAUACAUGUUUCCGUACUUAGUCUAAUCCUUAUAAUUAGUUCCAUAAUUUUUGUAAUUAGAAAAUCAUUCCCUUACAUACAAAGUUUCCAUACAAAGUUAGUCUUCUGUGGUUAUAUAUAUGUAACGUUCCUCAUUAUAAAAAUCAAUUAUGUGAAUGAAAGUUUGAAUAUUUCUCAAUUUUAACAGCAAUCAAGCUUAACUGCUGCGAUUGCGAUGUUGUUAGACUUGGUGGAAGAACUGUAUUUGUUCUUGGCCACAUAUCUUGAUGUACCAAGAAUUCUACUCGAAUCCUUAAUGCCUUCAUAGUGGUUGCAUUUAUUCCUAUUUAUAUCAAGUUGCCUUAUAUCUUUUGUAUUUUUGUUUUCAUCAGAUAGUUUUGUGUGGUGAAAUUAAAAAAUGAGUUAUGUUAGCUGCCUGAUAGAGCGAAAAAAGACUCGAUGCUACUUUAUCACAUAAAAGUUUGGGAAUGACAAUGAACUCCGGAAGCUGGAAUGAACUGCCAGCAAUGCUUAAGAGCCGCAAGAGAAAUUGUGAUGUUGUUUUAGUUUUUUUUGUUUUGUUUUUGCUUUUCCAUAUUUCUUUUGAGAAAUGCUAGUCACAAAGUGAUUAUAUAAAAGUAAUCUCACAAAGUGAUAUAGUUUGAUGUGGUUUGUUAGAUUGUAGAAUUACUUUUAUUGUAAAGCAGAUUCGACGGAUUACAUGAAAUCACGUCAGUUUGUGAGAUUACUUUUAUGUAAUCACUUUGUGACUGUAGCACUACUCAUUUCUUUUUGUAUGUGAAUUUGCAUUAGCUUGGAAUCGUUUAGGAAAAAAAGGCCAUUUGUUCGUCA